rnacentral:rRNA from 1 species
GACGAACGCUGGCGGCGUGCUUAACACAUGCAAGUCGAGCGGUAAGGCCUUUCGGGGUACACGAGCGGCGAACGGGUGAGUAACACGUUGGUGAUCUGCCCUGCACUUCGGGAUAAGCCUGGGAAACUGGGUCUAAUACCGGAUAUGACCUCCUAUCGCAUGGUGGGUGGUGGAAAGAUUUAUCGGUGCAGGAUGGGCCCGCGGCCUAUCAGCUUGUUGGUGGGGUAAUGGCCUACCAAGGCGACGACGGGUAGCCGACCUGAGAGGGUGACCGGCCACACUGGGACUGAGACACGGCCCAGACUCCAACGGGAGGCAGCAGUGGGGAAUAUUGCACAAUGGGCGAAAGCCUGAUGCAGCGACGCCGCGUGAGGGAUGACGGCCUUCGGGUUGUAAACCUCUUUCAGCAGGGACGAAGCGCAAGUGACGGUACCUGCAGAAGAAGCACCGGCUAACUACGUG